UGUUAACCAUUUUCUCAAUUGAAACCCUGAUUCUCGCAAUAAAUUUGUUACUGUUGAUUGUAACUGUAAAACAUCUGAUUCAUUGUUUCCGCCAUCUAAGUAAUCGUCAACAUAAAAAUUUAAUUUUAUGGAUUUAGCAGCUGCUGGAUAUUUUUCCGCAUUUUCAUGAGCUAUUUGUUGCAGUGCUCUAAUUGCUAAAAAACUAGAAGACUUACUCCCGUAGGUAACUGUCAAUAGUUCGUAACAUUUUAAUUUUUCUGUUUCAGAAUUCCGCCAGAAAAUUCUUUGAAAUUUAGUUUGACUGUGGUGAAGCCAUACCUGUCUGUACAUUUUGGAAAUGUCUGCCGUUAUAACGUAGGUCAUUUAAAGAAAUAUUAUUGUCUGAUUUUGCUGAGAAGUCAAACACAACUCUGCAUGGGGUGGUAUCACUAUCCUUUAAGACUGGAUGAUGUGGAACAUAAUAUGCUGAACCAUCAUCUUCGAGAUCAUUGAUAUCAACCUCUAAUUCCUUAAGGUGUCCUAAUCG